AGCAACUUGACGCAGUGGAAGCGUGCAGGGCUCAUACGAUCAUGUGGUUGAUACCCUGAAGUCCCUGGAUCGAAACCAGGAGUUGCUA